UGGGGAAUCUUGGACAAUGGGCGCAAGCCUGAUCCAGCCAUGCCGCGUGAGUGAUGAAGGCCUUAGGGUCGUAAAGCUCUUUCGCCAGAGAUGAUAAUGACAGUAUCUGGUAAAGAAACCCCGGCUAACUCCGUG
rnacentral:rRNA from 1 species